rnacentral:rRNA from 1 species
AUUUAUGGUCAAGCUACUAAGGGCAGACGGUGGAUGUCUUGGUAUCGGGAGGCGAUGAAGGACGUAGUAAGCUGCGAUAAGCCUCGGGGAGCCGCAAACAGGCCGUGAUCCGGGGAUUUCCGAAUGGGGGAACCCACCCGGGGUCAUACCCGGGUAUCUAUAGCUGAAUACAUAGGCUAUAGAGGCGAACCAGGAGAAUUGAAACAUCUUAGUAUCCUGAGGAAGAGAAAGCAAAAGCGAUUUCCUGAGUAGCGGCGAGCGAAAGGGGAACAGCCCAAACCGGAAGGCUUGCCUUCCGGGGUUGUGGGACCGCAAUGUGGGAUGCAGAGAGCUAGCAGAACAGGCUGGAAAGCCUGGCCAUAGAAGGUGAUAGCCCUGUAUGCGAAAGCCCGAAGCACUCUAGCGGGAUCCCGAGUACCACAGGACACGUGGAACCCUGUGGGAAGCUGGGAGGACCAUCUCCCAAGGCUAAAUACUACCCGAUGACCGAUAGUGAACCAGUACCGUGAGGGAAAGAUGAAAAGUACCCCAGUGAGGGGAGUGAAAUAGUACCUGAAACCGUCUGCCUACAAGCGGUCGGAGCCUCGCUUAGGCGAGGUGACGGCGUGCCUUUUGCAUAAUGAGUCAGCGAGUUACUUUCUGUGGCAAGGUUAAGCCGUUAGGUGUAGCCGUAGCGAAAGCGAGUCUGAAUAGGGCGUUCAGUCGCAGGGAGUAGACCCGAAGCCGAGUGAUCUAUCCAUGGCCAGGGUGAAGGUGGGGUAACACCCACUGGAGGCCCGAACCAUUAUCGGUUGAAAACGGUUUGGAUGAGCUGUGGAUAGGAGUGAAAGGCUAAUCAAACUCGGCGAUAGCUGGUUCUCCCCGAAAUAUAUUGAGGUAUAGCCUCGGAUGCUGAGCAGCGGAGGUAGAGCACUGGAUGAGCUAGGGGCCCCACCAGGUUACCAAACUCAACCAAACUCCGAAUGCCGUUGUGUGGAGUCCGGGAGUCAGUCUGCGGGUGAUAAGAUCCGUGGUCAAAAGGGAAACAGCCCAGAUCGCCGGCUAAGGCCCCAAAAUGCAUGCUAAGUGGGAAAGGUGGUAGGAACGCACAGACAACCAGGAGGUUGGCUUAGAAGCAGCCAUCCUUUAAAGAAAGCGUAACAGCUCACUGGUCAAGUGGUCCCGCGCCGAAAAUUUAACGGGGCUCAAGCAUGCUGCCGAAGCCGCGGGAUUUGUCAACAGACAGAUCGGUAGGGGAGUAUUCCAGUUGCCGUUGAAGCCGGUUCGUGAGGUCCGGUGGAGGUCCUGGAAGAGCGUAUGCUGACAUGAGUAGCGAAAAAGCGGGUGAGAAUCCCGCUCGCCGGAAGCCUAAGGUUUCCUGAGUAAAGCUCGUCUGCUCAGGGUUAGUCGGUCCCUAAGCCGAGGUCGAAAGGCGUAGGCGAUGGAAAACAGGUUAAUAUUCCUGUACCACCAAACAAGCGUUUGAGUGAAGGGGGGACGGAGAAGGGUAAGCCAUCCGGGUGUUGGAUGUCCCGGUUCAAGGUUGUAGGCGGAGAUCCCAGGCAAAUCCGGGAUCUUGUUAACGCUGAGAGCUGAUGACGUGGCCUUUUAGGCCGUAAGUGGCCGAUCCCAUGCUUCCUGGAAAAGCCUCGUAGCGAGUUUGUUUGGUGACCGUACCGUAAACCGACACAGGUAGGCAGGGUGAGAAUCCUGAGGCGCGUGAGAUAACCCUGGUUAAGGAACUCGGCAAAAUAGCCCCGUAACUUCGGGAGAAGGGGCACCCACAUCAGGUGAAGAUCCUUGCGAUCGGAGCCGAAGUGGGGCGCAGUGAAAAGGGGGUGGCGACUGUUUACUAAAAACAUAGGACUCUGCCAAGCCGCAAGGCGACGUAUAGGGUCUGACGCCUGCCCGGUGCCGGAAGGUUAAGGGGAGGUGUUAUUCGCAAGAAGAAGCACUGAACCGAAGCCCCGGUAAACGGCGGCCGUAACUAUAACGGUCCUAAGGUAGCGAAAUUCCUUGUCGGGUAAGUUCCGACCUGCACGA